ensembl:lncRNA
CGGGAUCCGAGCCGCAUCUGCGACCUAUACCACAGCUCACGGCAACGCCGGAUCCUUAGCCCACUGAGCAAGGCCAGGGAUCGAACCCUCAACCUCAUGGUUCCUAGUCGGAUUCGCUAACCACUGAGCCACGAUGGGAACUCCUGAUUUUAGUACCUGCCACAAUAUGGGUGGGCUUUGUCUAAUCAGGUGAAAGCUUUAAAAGAGAAAAGAGAUUGGCCUCCUCCAAGAAAGAAGGGAUUCUGCCUCCAGGUGGCCUUUUCCCUGGGUUUCCAGCUUGUUGGACUUCCCUAACCUACCCUGCAGAAUUCAGACUCGCAGCCCUCCCGCCCCGUAAUAGAAUGAUAGAAUGAGCCAGUUCCUUAACUCGCUCAAAGUAAACCAAUUUCUCCCACCCCCUCUCUCUCUAUAUAUAUGUAUACACACAUAUAUAUACAUACACACACAUAGGUAGAUAGGCAGACAUAGACAUGUAGAUAUAAAGAUACAGGUACAGCUAUACCUAAAUCUGUAUCUCUAUAUCUAUCAAUAGAUCUGUAUGUGUCUGUAUCUAUGUAUCUCUAUCUCUGUCUAUACACGCACACAUCCCAGUGGUUCUGUUUCACUAGAGAAACCCAGUCUUAAGGAAACACAUCCACGUUCUCCUCCCUUUGUGUAAUUUUCAUUUGAACUCCUAAACUCUUGAUUUUUUAUUUUUAGCUUGUUUUUUAGGGCUGCACCCAUGGCAUAUAUGGAGGUUCCCAGGCUAGGGGUCGAAUCAGAGCUACACCUGCUGGCCUACGCCACAGCCACAGCCACGCCAGAUCCGAGCUGCGUCUGCAACCUACACCACGGUUUACCAUGACGUUGGAUCCUUAACCCACUGAGUGAGGCCAGGGAUCGAACCCCGCAACCUCUUGGUUCCUAGUCGAUUCGUUUCUGCUGAGCUAUGACAGGAACUCCUCUGAACUCCUUUUAAAACUUGCUUCACUUCUUUGGAUCCUGCUGACUCUCCGGGGAAUCCUAUCUUGCUGCCCAUAGUUGCUUUGAUUUUCAGAGACUUAUAUGUUAGAAGUGCCUUUUCCUGCACGUGUUAAUGCUAAAAAAUUCAAAAUAUUCAGGGGUCCCACUGGAAGGAUGUUCUGAUCCCUACCUCAUAGCGACAAGGCAGCCAGCCUGCCUGUUUCUUGUACGUGGUUUUGCUGUGUGAACAUGGUAGGUGCUUGCUGAUGGGCUGGUUCUUCAAGCCACGCUGCUUAGCUAAUGGGCUCCUCGUGGUGGAUAAGCGGACAUCAGAAGAGGGAGAAAGUGCACAGAGCUACAGAGGGACCCAGGCCUGCACCCUAAAGACACCCAAUUAGCUGAGCCUGUGCCAGCCUCCCUGGGCCAGCACACCUGGAGGGGAGAAAAGGAUGAACGCUGAGCUGAGCCCACGUGAGCAAGGCUCCAUCCAGGAGCACCUGCUUGGGACGGCUGAGGCCCGGUCCACGCCAGGGAGCUGACUGGGGGGCUUUGGGGUUUCCAGCAGCAUCCGUGCCAGAGGGGAUGGGAGGCGAGUAAAUGGCAAGGCGAGCAGCUGGUGGUAUCAUCCUUGGCAGGCAGGCCGCCGUGCUCUGCCAGGAUCGGCGGCCGGUGUCCAGCAAGCCCAGUGAAGAGCUGGGAGCUGGCUGGCCGAGGGGCAGGCAUCAGGUCGCCCCUGCGGUAUUCCAGAGGGUGUCAGGUGGCAGAAUGAGGAUGCCCCGCUUGCUCUGGCUUCUCUCCCGCCCCCAGCACAAGGUACAGUCACCUGGGAAGGGCUGUGUCCAUGCUGCGCUCCCUCAGAUGGGGUCCUUCCUGGAUCCACUCUGGGGGAUACCCCAGAGGGAGGCCUUGCCCCACCCUUUGAGCUGCCUGCGCUGCACAGAUGCUGGGAUGCUCAGGGGCCUCCUCUUGUUCAGAGAGUCUGGGGGCAGAGCUCCUGCCCCCUCUGCCGCUGCCGCCCCCCUUUGGCCGGGGCGGGGCUUGAGGGGCCUCGGGAAGCCUGCAUGUGCCUGUUGCCUGGCAAGGGUUUUGCCCAAGCAGGACAGGAUCUACAUGCCAGCUCGGCCAUUAACUACUGACUCUCUGACUUUGGAAGAGCUGCUUAAUUGUUUCAAGCCUCAGUUUCCUUGUAAGUGAAAUGGGCUAACAGUGGGCUGAAGUGUGAUACUCCCACGUUUACAACUUGAAGUCCUAACCCCCUGGGCCUCAGAGCGUGACUGUAUUUGGAGGUGGGAUCUUUAAAAAGGUGAUUAAGAGUUCCCGCUGGGGUGCAACGGGAUCCGGGUAUCUCUGCAGCACCAGGACACAGGUUCGAUCCCCGGCCCCAGCAAUAGUGGGGUUAAAGGAUCUAGCACUGUUGCAGCUGAGGUUUGGAUCUGAUUCCUGGCCCAGGAACGCCAUAUGCUGUGGGGUAAU